UAUUUUGAAUAUUUUGCAGAGUCCUUUCCAUUUCACGCCCCUCACUUUUCUCUGCACUCUCUCUCUUCCUUCCCUUUCCUCCUUCCUCUGUAAAAAUUGAACGGCGUAUAAAUCGGCGGAUGGAUGCAAUGAAAACUCGGCACAGGGAUUUGUUGGUGCUGCCUCGAAUGAGUAAUUGAGGAGAUGGAGAGUCAACCCGCACCUAGAAGCCUCUCACUAAACCUCCGCCGCCGUUCCUCUCAACAGCCAUCGCCGUCUUCAGGAGUUGAGGAGGUUAUUAGUGUAGACUUCGUUUUUCUCAAGGGUUGAUCUGCAAACUUAGUUGUUGCUUACUAACUUCUGGAGUCCUAGGUUUCCCAUGCUUCAAAUAAGUGAUAACAGUGUUCUUUGUUGCCCGAUUUCUUGAGCUAAGGAGAGAGAACUAUUCCGGUUUUGAAAAAUUAAUUGAAAAAGCCAUAGGGCCGAUCGACUGAAUGAGAGCUUUAUGAGUUGCAAUCUUGUUGAUAUUGGUGCAUAAAAAUGAUUUAGGCAAUAGGAAUAAAGGCCUCAUAUCCAAAUUAUCACAUGCCUGACCCUGCAUAAACCACUAGUGAGCCAGUUUGAGCCCCAAAAGACUAAUUUCUUUGUUGAAAAUUUUGAAGUCCUUAUAUCAGCUUACUUAUUAUAUCCAUUUGUUGGCCUAUAUUUUCUUCCCUAGUCACUAACAUUAAAGUGCUAGCACAUUCUUGGGAGGGUAUUAUGGUGGCAAGAAAAAGAUGGAGGUUCUGGACCAUUCAUUAGGUGGUAUUACUGAGAUACAAAGUGAGUGAAAAACUGUCCCUUCAAACGAAAAUAGAAUAAAAAGGCAGCCUUUCAAGAGUAAAAAAAAGCCAAGGCUAAAAAAAAUGGCAGCCUUUCAUAAGUAAAAAAAAGCUAAGGCUAGAAAAAAAUAAAAAGGCAGCCUUUCAUAAGUAAAAAAAGCCAAGGCUAGAAAAAAAAAGGCAGCCUUUCAUGUCUAAAAAAAGCCAAGGCUAGAAAAAAACAACAAAAUAAAAAAGCAGCCUUUCUUGAGUAAAAAAAAAGCCAAGGCUCGAAAAAAAAUAUUGAGCGAAAAAAUAGAAAUGAUAAAAGAAUGCUCAAAAGAAUAAGUUGACAUAUGGUCGAAAAAUCUCAUGUUUGGGGUGUUGAGCUGUAAGAAAUUUGUACGCAGUGAGUGAGAUGUGAAAGACGUUGUGAUGGAUGUGCUAGUAUUUUAAGAAUGGUGGUAAGCUACUUAACCAAAUAUUAUCCCACCUUUACCAAAAGCCCCGUUACAUCCCAAUGAAUAAGACCUUUUGAUUUGUGCAUCAUAUUGACUUGUGAGCAAUGAAUUUUGCUUGAUUUUGGGAGAAAGAUCUUAUGUGCAUAAAAUAAAGAAUAGUCAGAAGAACUUCUCUUUAUGAAUUAGUGACGAUGGUUUGAGACUCCCAGGACACAACAUGAACUUAGAUUGAAGCAUGGGAUGCCUAGUUCUUAGGGAAUUAGUUCGUGUACAAUUCUUGUUCUAAAGUUUUACCCGCGAGUGAAUUCGGGGUCGGCCUAAUUUCCCUACUGAUUCAUAUGGUUUGGCGUGACUUGAGGCAGAGGAUUAUCUAAUAUAUCUUUAUACAAUGGAAUGGAGGGUAGCGUAUUACUGCUCCAAGACAAUUUUGACCACUUCGAUAUCAAGUGUCUCUCAGUUCAUACUAAAGCCAUCAAUGAAGGACUAUUGCAAAAUCUUUCUGAUGCUCUACGCUUGUCGGUACCUGAUAAAAUUGGAGUUGGUCUUGCUUUGUCUAAAUCUGAAGAUCACGAUACCAGGAUGUGUGGAAAGAAUUUUUGUUUGAGUCAGAUUAAAGUGCUGUGUGCCAAUCCUAUUGCAUUUGAGGCGACUGAGAUAAUUCAACAUAUUCUCGUGUUACUCUUAGUUGAUUUGAAGACCUCUCUAAGCAUUCAGAUUCACUCUUGCAAAUGUUAUCUCUUGUGAAACUAAGGUGCUUUCCGUGAUAGUUCCUCGUGCAAAAAUAGACUUGAAUUUCUUAGUCAAUCUGAAGGCCGAGGCCCAACUAUGUGGAGAUCACUUCUUCAGCGCUGUUAAAAAUGCUCCGCACUGGUGGACGAGCAAGACCUGGGGGCCGCGACCUGGUGGGGGCAAGUCGUGUGGCGGCAGGGGGAGACUUAGUUCUUAACUUAGAAGAAGUCGGGGAAAGGGAAUAGAUCAAGUUUCUGAAGGAUGUUCAGGACCUCUCUCCCAGUCACAUUCAACCUUUGGGUUCACUUUUGAAUAUCUUUUUGGAAGCUUGUCCCACUAUUUUAAAGGACUAUACCAUGGAGCCUGAUGAGAAACUUAUACUAAAUGCAGCACAUUUGAUGGUAUCAUUAAGAGGCCCUUGCAUCACAUUUAGGAACCUUUACUUGGUUUAGUAUCAAGCGAGCUUAGAAGGUCACUUCAGGGCUUGGCCGUAGCAAGUGAUUUUCUAGAGCAGUCAUUUCAGCUGGUAACUAAUGAUAAUAUCCUUUGCAUCAAUGGCUUGAUUUCCAUAAUAACCAUUAAGAUAAAAGAGGAAGGAAACACAAACAGAGUUGACACCGAUGAAUGGAAUCCAUCCACUGAUACACAUUUCCUCGAUUGAUAACCGCUCUGGAAAUGUUGUGAUACACCCAAAAUUUUAAAUAUUAAUCCAGCAGUUGUGUUAGUCUACGAUAGUUUGAUCAACUAUCGCGGGACCAAAUUUUCUAUAGAUUGCAAACUUGAGUUUGCUCGCACUGCUUGCUCAUCUAAAUUCUGCUGCUGUGCUGCGCUAUAAGCAGAACUUGGUCCUUUUUUGAGAUUGCUACUUCAGUGUUGAUCAAGUUUCAGAGAUGUCCACUGUUCUUUAGCAGUGAGAUGUUAUAGCUCGUAGGAUUUUUCCGCUAGUACACUUUGAGCUCACACAUAUUUAGGGACUAACCCCGGAGUUGUCUAGGUUCUCGCUUCCAGUAUAGGGGUGUGAUCCUGGUGCCCCCCCUUACUUGCUUUCUACGCAAACCAGUGAGUAUUAUAUCUCCCUUUACAUUUUCUUGUCCUGAGGUUAAUGUUUAGAAUAGUUUUGAGGUGUGGGUGUUUUGCGCGCAUUUUUCUUUUUGUGCUUGUAAUUUAUCCUGAUUGUGCGUGCAUGCAUGGUUUUCUCUCUAUUGAUUAUCACCUGACACUUUUUAUGGGUAAUUAGUAUAGACUUAGUUUCUCUCAAGGGUUGCUUACUAACUUCUGGAGAACUAAGAUUCCCUAAUUUAAAACACAUAAUUUUUUAAUAUUUUAAAGAUAUGUGAAAAAGAAUUUGUGCUGCUGCUGUACAAGACCAAGUGAAUUUCUUAAAUUAUUUUAAUGAUAUGUGUAAAUGAAUUUGUGUUGCUACUUAUUACAGCAUUAAUACUAGCAAAUAGCUGAUAAAAUUUUUAGUAAAUUCUUGUGUUAAUUUAGUCCAUUGUGUAUGGGUUUGGAAUUAAUAUUGUUUGUACUUUGUCCUUGGUGCAUUUUAACCUUGUUUACAUGCAGUCCAAACCAUUUAUGGGAAAAUUGUUCAACUACUUUCUGUUAGCAGAAAGCACAGAGAGAGUGUUGUGCCACUUUUUAUUAUGCUAGCCUUUAUGGUCCUCAAACUCCUGUAAACAACAUCAUUCCUUCAUUCCCUCCUGCUUUGGCUAGCUACUGAUGGAACCUUCUAGUUAUGCAAAGAACCUGGAAAUGCUGCACAUCCUACUAAUGCAAUUCUGUCUUUCGAGCAUCCUGGGACGAACCUUGAUAUUAGAAUGAGUUAUUUUGAUGAUACAAUCUCAUUUCUAUAUGUUUAAACAUAUGUGUGCCUGCUUUAGAUUAUGAAGCACAAGUCCGAAUAGCAGCUGCCGAAAAGGAGUUAAGGAGGAGCUAACUUGUAAAGGAGGCAAGAUGAGAGAAGAAAUGCCUAACCCCCAUCACCUAUUUCCCACGCAAACAAGGGAUUAUUUUGUUUCCCCUCACAUCCUGUCCUUCACAUAAAGGGCAAUGUUAAGAUUAAGAUAUAGGGGCUAUGCCACGGAGCCUGAUGAGAAACUUAUACGAAACGCAACAUAUAUGAUGGUAGCAAGGUUGACAGGAAGUGUUGCUAAUUAACUUGUAGGAACCUUUACGUGGUUCUAUAUCAAGCCAACUCAGAAUGUCACUUCAGGGGCUUGGCUAUGCAAGUCGUCUUCUAGAGCUGUCAUUUCAGCAGGAAUCACAAACGGAGUUGACACCGAUGAAUGGAAUCCAUCCAUUGAUACACAACUUCCUCGAUUGAUAACCGCUCUGGAAAUGUUGUGGUUGAGUGUAAGGCUACGUAGCAAGGAGAACUCAGUCCCGUGUUGAGAGCGCUACUUCAGUGUUGAUAAGUUAUAGAGAUGUCCUCUGAUCUUCAAAAGUGAGGAACUAACCCAGAGUUGUCCUAGUUCUCACUUCCGGUAUAGGGGUGUGAUCCGGCAUCACCCCUUACUUGCUUUCUACUCAAACAAUCCAAACCAGUGAUGGGGAAAUAGAUUAACAACUUUCUAUUAGGAGAAAGCAUAGAGACAGUGUUGUGCCACUUUUUUUUUAUGCUAGCAUUUAUGGGCAAGGUCAAGUGAACCUUUUGUCCUAAGCAAGGCCACCUGUCGCAUUCACAAAACGAGUUUAUGAGGUGAUUCUCUGUCAAAUUCUAGGACAUCUAAGUUGAUUCAGGUGGUCAGAUAUAUAUUAUCUAUUUUCAUCUUUGUGAUCUUUAUUUAUGUCUCAUUUCAUUUUUUCAUUUUGUUCGCAUCAGUUUGCUCAUUUUCUAGGCAAGAAUCGAUCCAUCCAGAGCUCAAAUGCAUUUCCAGAUUGCCCCUCCGCUUCAUUAGUAGGUGGACUUUCCUGGAAAUUUGCAUCUCUACUUCUGACUGAAUGAGUGUUAGCACUGGAAUUGGUGCUAUUCCCCACACACCUGAAAUUUGCUCUGACGAGAUGGAUCCUGUUGAAUCCCAGAUUCCUACAAGGUUUGUUUAGUUUAUGGUUUUCUUUGAUUUUUAUACCAUUUAUUAAUUAUUAGUUGUUGUUUUCCUGCGACUAAACCCUGCGAGCAAUAAAAACAAAAUUGAAUCAAAUUAGUAAAAUUAUGGUGAUCGUUUUUAGUUCCUUCAUCUCGCAUUGUAAUUAGCGAUGGUCCACAAACUCUUGAAGAUGACAUAAUUCCUUCAUUCCUUCUUGAUUGGGCCAUCUACUAAUGGAACCUUCCAGUUACACAAAAGAACCUGGAAAUGCUACACAUCCACUAAUGCAACUGUCUUGCGAGCAUCCCGAGACAAAUGUCUCUGAGCCAUUUAUAACCUUUGGUGAUGCAUUGCGUAUGUACCAUACUAUCUCAUAGAAGGAUAAUAUUUCUGAUGAUGACUAUAUAAUUUCAUAAGCUGGGAUCGGUCUAGAAGUGGGAAUGAUGUCAAUCCUACAUGAUAAUGAAGCACAAGCAUGAAUAGCUCUGCCGAAAAAGGUCAAUAAUUCUGUUGGAUUCCUUGUCUGGAACUUGCUGUCCAACUUAUUAGGAGUUAAGGAGGAGCUAACUUGUAAAGGAGGCAAGAUGAGAGAAGAAAUGCCUAACCCCCAUCACCUAACUUCCCAUGCAAACAAGGGAGUAUUUUGUUUCCCCUCACAUUUUUUUUCCUUCACUUAAAAGGGCAAUGUUAAGUUAAGAUUUGGGGUGAGGGUGUUUGUGUGCAUGCUUGAUUAUGUGGUUGUAAAUAAUUUGAUUACUCUAUCUCCGAUGUGUUGAUUCUGAAGGACCCUUUUUUCAAUAGUGUAUAUAACAAUGCGAAUACUAAAGAAGUUAUGUGUUUUUAAAUGGCAGGACAUGCCAUGGAGCCGGAUGAGAAACUUAUGCAAAAUGCAGCAGAUUUGAUGGUAGCAAGGUUGGUAGGAAGUCUUGCUAAUGUAACUUAUUAGGAACCUUUACGUGGUCCAGUAUCAAACCAACUCAGAAGGUCACUUCAGGGCUUGGCCAUAGCAAAUGAUCUUCUAGAGCAGUCAUUUUAGCUGGUGACUAAUGGAAUCACAGGCGGCGAUGACACCGAUGAAUGGAAUCCAUCCAUUGACACACAUCUUCCUCGAUUGAUAGCCGCUCUGGAAAUGUUGUGAUACACACAAAGUUUUAAAUAUUAUUCCAUCAUUUGUAUUUGUCUAUGACAGUUAGAUCAGCUAUCGAGGGACCAAAUUUGCUUUUGAUUUCAAACUUGAGUUUGCUCAUACUGCUCAUCUAACUUUUGCUGUUGUUCAUUGCAGGUUGAGUGCAAGGCUGAGCUGCAAGCAGAACUCGGUCCUUUGUUGAGAACACUAUUUCAGUAUUGAAUGAGAUUUACUUAUUAAAGCAAUAAUACCAGCAAAUAGCUGAGAAAAAUUUCGUCCAAACCAUUUAAUGGGGAAAUAGAUCGAUUACUUUCAAACGGGAGCCCUUUAUCCAGAGCCAGGGCAUGUGUCACAUUCACAACAAGUUUAUGAGAAUCGAUCAACCCAGAGCUCAAAUGCAUUUCCAGUUUGCCCCUCGGCUUCAUCAGGAGGUGGAUUAUCCAGGCAAUUUGCAUCUCUACUUCUGACCAAAUGAGUGCUAGCAUUUACUCAUCUGGCCUUGUUAGCACUGGAAUUGGUGCUAUACCCCAUACACCGGAAAUCGACUCUGACGAGAUAGAACCAGUUGGAUCCCAGAAUCCUACAAGGUUUGUUUAGUUUAUGGCAUCUUUUGAUUUUUAUAUUAUUGAUUAAAUGUUAAUUAUUAAUUGUUGUUUUUCUAUGAGUAAACCCUCCGACCAACAAAAACUAAAAGGAAUCAAAUUAGCAAAAUUAUGGUGAUCAUUUUUCAGUUCGCUCAUCUCGUAUUUCAAUUGGCAAUGGUCCACAAACUCUUGUAAACGACAUCAUUCCUUCAUUCCCUCCUGCUUUAGCUAGCUACUGAUGGAACCUUCCAAUUAUGCAAAAGAACCUGGAAAUGCUGCACAUCCUACUAAUGCAAUUCUGUCUUCCGAGCAUCUUGGGACAAACCUUGAUAUUAGAAUGAGUUAUUUUGAUGAUACAAUCUCAUUUUUAUAUGUUUAGACGUAUGUGUGCCGGCUUUAUAUUAUGAAGCACAAGUCCGAAUAGCAGCUGCCGAAAAGGUUACAAACUCAGCUGGAUUCUUAAUCUGGAAUUUGUUGUCCAACAUAUUAGUAGUUAAGGAGGAGCUACUAACUUCUAAAGGAAGUGAGAUGAGAGAAGAAAUACCUAACGCCCAUCACCUAACUUCCCAUGCAAACAAGGGAGUAUUUUGUUUCCCCUCACAUUUUUUUCCCUUCACAUAAAGGGCUAUGUUAAGAUUAAGAUUUGGGGUGAGGGUGUUUGUGUGCAUGCUUGAUUAUGUGUUUGUAAAUAAUUUGAUUACUCUAUCUCUGAUGUGUUGAUUCUGAAGGACCCUUUUUUCCAUAGUGUAUAUAACUAUGCGAAUGCUAAAGAAGUUAUGUGGUUUUAAUUGACAGGUCUAUGCCACAGAGCCUGAUGAGAAACUUAUACGAAAUGCAGCACAUUUGACAGGAAGUCUUGCUAAUGUAACCUGUAGGAGUUAUGGAGGAGCUAACUUUUUAGGAAACAAGAUAAGAAAAGUAGCUAACCCCCACCACCUAAUUUUCUAUGCAGACAAAGGAGUGUUCUAUCUUGCCUCACAUUUUAUCGUCCAUCACAUAAAGGGAAAUGUUUAGAUUCA